rnacentral:rRNA from 1 species
AUUGAACGCUGGCGGCAGGCCUAACACAUGCAAGUCGAGCGGAUGAAGGGAGCUUGCUCCUGGAUUCAGCGGCGGACGGGUGAGUAAUGCCUAGGAAUCUGCCUGGUAGUGGGGGAUAACGUCCGGAAACGGGCGCUAAUACCGCAUACGUCCUGAGGGAGAAAGUGGGGGAUCUUCGGACCUCACGCUAUCAGAUGAGCCUAGGUCGGAUUAGCUAGUUGGUGGGGUAAAGGCCUACCAAGGCGACGAUCCGUAACUGGUCUGAGAGGAUGAUCAGUCACACUGGGACUGAGACACGGUCCAGACUCCUACGGGAGGCAGCAGUGGGGAAUAUUGGACCAUGGGCGAAAGCCUGAUCCAGCCAUGCCGCGUGUGUGAAGAAGGUCUUCGGAUUGUAAAGCACUUUAAGUUGGGAGGAAGGGCAGUAAGUUAAUACCUUGCUGUUUUGACGUUACCAACAGAAUAAGCACCGGCUAACUUCGUG